GGCGGGGUGGCGCAGUUGGUAGCGCACGGGGCUCAUAACCCUGGGGUCGCUGGUUCGAGUCCAGCCUCCGCAACCA
rnacentral:tRNA from 1 species